rnacentral:sRNA from 2 species
AGCUUCGAACCCUCAACUUGCCGUUGGACACCAAUACUGGGAAACAUAAGGACCCAUGUCCUGUCUCUGUUUCUAUUUUUUUCAUCCUUUGAUAAGUUCCAUUUUUGAUUGACAAGUAACAAUGAUUCCCACAGCAAAAUGCCUUGCCCAGUCACCCGGCUUCGUCAAAAGGAGCGCGGACGAGUUGGCCCGGUUUACUAAGAUGGCCUGGAACCUCGACGCCCUCUCCGUCCCUUACAAACCCUACCACCUCCUCGAUUUCACCGACGAGAACACAAUUGCGGGCUGCAAGACCAUGUCCGACCGCGCCAUUGGUGGUUACAGCACUGCAAAUCUGGACUAUAUCCCCGCAGAUCCCGCCACCAAUACCCCCGCACAUGCCCGCUUUCAUGGCUCAAUAUCCACCAAGUUGCCGCAGAAUUGGAAGGUCCAGAGGACCGGUUAUGCGGCUUUCCGCAACAAAGACCGUGGGCUAUGGCUCUUCGGCCGCCUCUACUGGGACGUGGACCCAUACACCUACCUUGCGCUGCGCGUCAAAUCCGACGGCCGCAGAUACAAAGUAAACAUCCAAACCGAUUCCAUCGUCGAUACUGACAUCCACCAGCAUCGC